UACGUAGGGUGCAAGCGUUAAUCGGAAUUACUGGGCGUAAAGCGUGCGCAGGCGGUUUGGCAAGUCAGAUGUGAAAUCCCCGAGCUCAACUUGGGAACUGCGUUUGAAACUGCCAGACUAGAAUAUGUCAGAGGGGGGUAGAAUUCCACGUGUAGCAGUGAAAUGCGUAGAGAUGUGGAGGAAUACCGGUGGCGAAGGCGGCAUCCUGGACCGACAUUGACGCUGAACGGCGAAAGCUAGGGGAGCAAACGGG
rnacentral:rRNA from 1 species